GCACUAUGGCACAGAGGCUGAGAGGAUUCAGAAUUGUCAAAAAUGGCUUCAGGAUUGUCUUAAAGUCUUACAACUGCAUCUCUCGAAACCGAGGCUGAAGAAGCUGGAACUUCUCCGGAUCCGCGUUAUUAAUAUCCCGACUGUGAUACUCACCACCAUCUCCAGGAUCGAGAGAAGAGGAACUUCCAAAAUAAUGAGUCACUGGGAUCCCUGUGACAGCCGGAGUUAAAAGUUACUGGGCCGAAGCUGCUGGAAACUCGUGACUGUAUUUUAAAGUCCGAAUUUCGGGAUUCACCAAAAGCAACCAGGUCCCGGGUCUCUGCCUUUCCACACCUCUGUUGCUUUCUGGAGCCGGACCACCAUUGCUUAGAACUGGACCGCAAGUGCGGUCAAGUGCAUUGCAAGUGGAAGUCCCUGCAUGUUAUUUCGUAUCCCUCUGCAAAUUAUUGUGAAGAUGGAGUCUGGUCCAGAGGUCCUUGCUAGCAGGGCUCUCGAAGCCUCUCUCCCUAUACUUCUGACUUGGAACUGAGCCUUUUCAUGGGCAGGGGAAGACCUGGUGGAUGCUCAAGACCAAGAAUGCCCAAGAUUGCUGAGCCUUAAAUAAAGGUAUAUCCUUGUGAGGGAGCAAGAUUCCCUAGAACUGGAGUUCCAGACAGUUGUGAGCUGUCAUGUGGGUGCUGGGAAUUGAACCCAGGUCCCCUGGAAUGGCAACCA